GCCAACAAACUAUAAUAAAAUGUAUUUAUGUUGUAAUUUGUGACUGAAUGAUGUAGCUUAAACCAUAAGUACUAAAUUCUAACUAUAAUUGAUCAACUUUUAAUCGAAGUUGCAAGAUGUUUAUUAAAAAAAAAAAAAAGAACAACCCGACGUCGAGGCAUUAUUUCAGUAAGAUACAUAUUCUGCUAGGUAUAUUCCGUUACAAUGAGUUGUAAAACAAAAGCAGCACGUAAGCUACUUAUAAAGUGUUUAGCCGGUAUAACUACAAGCGGUAUACCGUAAAAAAGCAGCUUGAAAUGUUGGAAUCGACCAUGAACUGCUAUUACUAAUAUUCUUGAUAUAUUAGUAGGUAUGUAGUGCUAGAAGUAUAAAGACUAGCAGAACAUUUACAGCGCUGUUGAUUUAAUAUGGCACAAUUUAAUUUCUAGGCUGUUAGCUUGACUGAGAAGAAAAGGUGGCAGUUUGCGCAUGGUCAAUGUUUAUUUUCUCGGCCAUUUUGUUAUUGUAGGUCAGCGGGCGGCAACUGUCAAAAGAAAUAAAUUAAUUUAUUUGGGCACCAUUUUGGCAAGCAUCCGUAAUCUCGACAAACUAAAUUUUAUAAACCGACUGAAUAGGAGUUGGCUUACACAAUUUCGUUGUGCAUACAAAAGCAAAAUGAAUAAAUGCCAAUGAUCAGCAAUUUUUUUAAAGACUUCUUCCACACCAUGUGUAAACCAUGUGCUGGGUACAGUGGUGAAGGCAUGACGUCAGCGAUAAUAUCUUAGAAGACAGAAUUAUAAGAGCCGGAUGAGAAAUUGGACCUCUGCCCUGGAACUACACACAAGUUUUUUUAUAUUUGUAUGUCAGCUCGUGACUUGAGUAUGUUAAUUUAAGAAGCCUGCCGACUGUGAUAAAAUAAGGCGUCCCUUGGCAUUUCUAUUUUAUCCGAUUUUAAUUCCUCAUCAUCUCUUCUGUGGUUUGACGUAUCGGCUUAAAGCUGUUAUUAUUUUCCAACAUUUUAGGAUAGUUUGAAAAAAAAAUGUUAACAUAAACUAUUUUAUAAUGAAAAUAAAUAUUAAGAAAAAGUAGGCGAUACGUCAAACCAUAGAAGAAAUGAUGAGGAAUCCUAAACAUUUACAAAAUUGAAGAAAUUGGAUAAAAUGAGAACUUGGAUUGUUGUAAAUAAAAAAAUAUAUUUUUGUACAAAAAUAGACCUCUCUUUACUGCAUUAAUGUAUGUUAACAAAUUUUAGCUUAAGUGGAUAUUAUACACUCAAUUUGCUAGUGUUAAAACAUGCUUACACAGAACGUGUUCUACUCACUCUGUGUUCAUUUUAGAGCAAAAAUAUUUAUAAUAUAAAUGAAAGAUGACAAGAUUUUGGAGACAAUGUCUUAUCCUUUUUUUGAGAAACCUAAUAUUAAAUAUUUAUAAACACUUUUUUAAAAUACUAAACUAAUAAUUACACAUCUCAGUUUAACCUUUAAAAAAAUAUUUUGCAAAAAUAAUGCCUAUACCUAACUCCUUAAUAAAUAGUUCAACUUACUCUUAAUGUAAAGUUUUAGUGAAAAAUUGCCUAUACAAUGCGCCUUAAUAAAUUCUCUUUUGUCACAGUCGCUAGGCCUCUUCAGUCCUAUAUAAAUAGACAAUAACAGUCAGUUUUUGAUUAAUUAUUUUGUGUAAAUAAGUGAUUAAAAGUAAUUAAGGACAAGUCCACUUUGUACGUUUUUUUUCAUAAAACUAGACGAGCGUUUUGUAAUAAAAAAGUAUUUAGUGAAACUUAUGUUUUAAAAUAAUAUGU